GUCCCUGUAGCGAAAUGGGUAGCGCGUUGGACUUCUAAUCCAAAGCUCUUGGGUUUGAACCCCACCUGGGAUA
rnacentral:tRNA from 1 species